rnacentral:rRNA from 1 species
CAGUAGCCGCGGGAAUACAGAGGGUGCGAGCGUUAAUCGGAUUUACUGGGCGUAAAGCGUGCGUAGGCGGCUUUUUAAGUCGGAUGUGAAAUCCCUGAGCUUAACUUAGGAAUUGCAUUCGAUACUGGGAAGCUAGAGUAUGGGAGAGGAUGGUAGAAUUCCAGGUGUAGCGGUGAAAUGCGUAGAGAUCUGGAGGAAUACCGAUGGCGAAGGCAGCCAUCUGGCCUAAUACUGACGCUGAGGUACGAAAGCAUGGGGAGCAAACAGGAUUAGAUACCCGGGUAGUCCCUGUCUCUAUACA